rnacentral:lncRNA from 1 species
AAGUGACAGACCCUGGUGGAGGGCCCGUCACAGGCGGCACCAGAGAUGCCAGUGGCAGAGGCUGCAACAAAUGUGCCACUGCCACAAGCGGCACCACCCAUUAUAAUGAUCCCCAGAUUCGGCUGAAGGAGAAGAUAGAAAAGGAAAGGAGAAGAAAGAAAAAGAAAGAAAAGAAAAGGAGAAGAAGAAGAAGAAGAAGGAGAAGGAGGCGCAGGAAAAAGAGAAAGAGAAGGAGGAGAAGAAGAAGAUGUAGGGAAGGAAAAAGAAAAAAAAAAUAAGGAAAUGUAUUUUUUUGUAUUAUUUUAAUUUUUUUGUAUUAUUUGUGUAAAAAACUCAUGUUAUGUAUAUUAUAUGUUUUAUUAUUUUAUUUAGCAUAUAUUUUUUUUGAAAUUUAUUUAGCAUGUAAAAAACCAAUGUUAUCUACAUUCUAUGUUGAUUAGAUAUAUUUUUUAUGAAAUUUAUUUAGCAUGUUGUAAUGAGUUUUUUUACAAAAAUAGGAUUAAAAAUAAAAUACUGAAAAAAUAUGUUUAUGA